rfam:Candidatus Muproteobacteria bacterium RBG_16_65_31 RBG_16_scaffold_13736, whole genome shotgun sequence.
NNCCGGUCCCCGCGGCGACGGAGGUUUGUGAACCCGGUCAGGUCCGGAAGGAAGCAGCCGCAGCAGGCAUUCCGGGUGCCGGGGUGCGGCUGGCUUGA